GAUCAUAACGAAAGCUGAGCACCGAAGAAUUGAUGCUUUUGAACUGUGGUGUUGAAGAAGACUCCUGAGAAUCCCUUGGACUGCAAGGAGAUCCAACCAGUCCAUCCUAAAGGAAAUCAGUCCUAGAUAUUCAUUGGAUGGACUGAUGCUGAAGCUGAAGUUCCAGUACUUUGGCCACCUGAUGUAAAGAAGUGACUUAUCAGAAAAGACACUGAUGCUGGGAAAGAUUGAAGGCAGGAGGAGAAGGGGAUGACAGAGGAUGAGAUGGUUGGAUGCCAUCACUGACUUGAUGGAUGUGAGUUUGAGCGAGCUCCAGGAGUUGGUGAUCGACGGAGAAGUCUGGCGUGCUGCAGUUCAUGAGGUCAGAAAGAAUCAGACUCAACUGAGGGACUGAACUGAACUGAAAUGAGGCAGAACCAGGAUCCUGUCCUAAGGCCGCGCUAUUGUUCUUGGCUACUCCUCCCUUGUUUUGCAUCCUCUCUCUUCCCUAAUUAGCAACUGUUUGAAUCUGUCUUUCAGGACUCAGGGAAGGUCAUGGAGGCUAGAAUCUGUUCCCUACAAACAAUGAUUGGGGGACACGGACACAGAAACACUUCUGUGCUCAUGAGCUGCACAGGAUCCUGCUCAGUUUCAGUACAGGACACCAAAGACAGGCAAUUUGCUGCCAUAACUGUGCUUUUCCUCUAAAAGGAGAAGUUUCUCUUCAACUUGAUUUGAAUAGGCACUGAAUAAACACAGCUGUUUUACUUUAACUUUGGCA
ensembl:lncRNA